rnacentral:rRNA from 1 species
CCUACGGGAGGCAGCAGUGGGGAAUAUUGGACAAUGGGGGGAACCCUGAUCCAGCCAUGCCGCGUGUGUGAAGAAGGCCCUCGGGUUGUAAAGCACUUUCAGUGAGGAAGAACGCCUGGUGGUUAAUACCCAUCAGGAAAGACAUCACUCACAGAAGAAGCACCGGCUAACUCCGUGCCAGCAGCCGCGGUAAUACGGAGGGUGCGAGCGUUAAUCGGAAUUACUGGGCGUAAAGCGCGCGUAGGUGGCUUGAUAAGCCGGUUGUGAAAGCCCCGGGCUCAACCUGGGAACGGCAUCCGGAACUGUCAAGCUAGAGCGCAGGAGAGGAAGGUAGAAUUCCCGGUGUAGCGGUGAAAUGCGUAGAGAUCGGGAGGAAUACCAGUGGCGAAGGCGGCCUUCUGGACUGACACUGACACUGAGGUGCGAAAGCGUGGGUAGCAAACAGGAUUAGAUACCCUGGUAGUC